UUCAUGAUGUAUGUCAUUAUAUAUUCUUAAUACAUAUUCAUAUUUUUUAAGAUAUUUGUCUAACCUUCCUACUUGCCAGUAUAAACGUAGAGGUCACAUGCGUGGUGCAAUUUCACAAAGAAGACCAGCCCCUUCCCCUUCCCCUUCUCCUUCCUCGUCCCCGUCCCUUUCCUCUUCCCCUCCCCUUUCAUCUAACCCUCAACCACUACAUGCUGAUGGACAACGUGGACACAUUGGCCCUUCCUCCGAUCCUCAAGAACAUAUUAGGGGACAACUUGGACACAUGCGAACCGAAUCUACUUCGGUUCCAACUCCUUCGGUUCCACCUUCUUCGAUGUAACACUCGAAUGAUGAGGGAAACGCAGGUGAAGAAGAUAGUCGAUUCAUGAUAUGCCCAUAUGCAGAUUCAUUCACGGAUGCUACGUAUGUUGUGAGGCAACUUAAUAAAAUAGUCAAUAACUAUUGGAGUGGGCGGUGGAUUAGUUACGGCGGUGCUCCAAAAGAAGUAAAGGAUUUGUGUUGAAAUGAGUUCAAAGUAAGUUUUGUCCUUUUAAUUUCUCACAAACUAAGUUCGGUGUAAAUAAAGUCAGUUGCUUUUGUAUUGAUUGCAGCAUAAGUUCAGGUGAGAUGAAACGGAAGAGGAUGAAGUUAAAAGAAUUUUUAAGAAGAAAGCCGGUGAUCACAUACCAAAUGUGAUGAAUAAAGCACAGAGAAGUCAAGUAAAGCUAGAUUUUAUUACAGGUGACAAUUGGACAGAAAUAAAGACAAUGUGGGAAACUGAAAAGAAUAAGCAAGGGAGUGAACAGAAUAAGAAGAAUCGAGGUUCUAGUUCUAGUGAAGGGUCUGCCACAUAUGUUGGGGGCUUUAUUAAUAUCGGGGAGCAUAGAAAAAGAAUGGCAGAUGAAUUUGGGACAGAACCGACACAUACAGCUACAUUUGAACGCAACAUUAAAAAAAAAAAAAAAAGAUAAGACAUGGACUAGCGAUCAAGCAAAAUCUAGUAAGCUAUGUAAGGUUAUACUUUGGACUUUAUGGAAACUAGAAUGAAAACCAUGAAUGCUUUUAAUAUUUAUGGUAUUUAUAUAUAUGAAGUUAUUUUAUUUUCAUCUAUAUUGUUAAUGUAGGAAAAAUAUGAUGAACUUUUAAUGAGUACUGCUAGUGGUGGUGAUGGUGUUGCUACGUCUGAGCCGGUAGUUAACAAUAUGGCAUUAGGGGUGGAGGCAUUGGGUGGGAUGAAAAGA